GUUACUACAGAGGGUGCAAGCGUUAAUCGGAAUUACUGGGCGUUAAGCGAGCGUAGGUGGCUUGAUAAGUCAGAUGUGAAAUCCCUGGGCUUAACCUGGGAACUGCAUCUGAUACUGUUAGGCUAGAAUAGGUGAGAGGAAGGUAGAAUUCCAGGUGUAGCGGUGAAAUGCGUAGAGAUCUGGAGGAAUACCGAUGGCGAAGGCAGCCUUCUGGCAUCAUAUUGACACUGAGGUUCGAAAGCGUGGGUAGCAAACAGGAUUAGAUACCCUGGUAGUCCACGCCGUAAACGAUGUCUACUAGUCGUUGGGUCCCUUGAGGACUUAGUGACGCAGCUAACGCAAUAAGUAGACCGCCUGGGGAGUACGGCCGCAAGGUUAAAACUCAAAUGAAUUGACGGGGGCCCGCACAAGCGGUGGAGCAUGUGGUUUAAUUCGAUGCAACGCGAAGAACCUUACCUGGUCUUGACAUAUCUAGAAUCCUGCAGAGAUGCGGGAGUGCCUUCGGGAAUUAGAAUACAGGUGCUGCAUGGCUGUCGUCAGCUCGUGUCGUGAGAUGUUGGGUUAAGUCCCGCAACGAGCGCAACCCUUGUCCUUAGUUACCAGCGGGUUAAGCCGGGAACUCUAAGGAUACUGCCAGUGACAAACUGGAGGAAGGCGGGGACGACGUCAAGUCAUCAUGGCCCUUACGACCAGGGCUACACACGUGCUACAAUGGUAGGUACAGAGGGCAGCUACACAGCGAUGUGAUGCGAAUCUCAAAAAGCCUAUCGUAGUCCAGAUUGGAGUCUGCAACUCGACUCCAUGAAGUAGGAAUCGCUAGUAAUCGCGGAUCAGAAUGCCGCGGUGAAUACGUUCCCGGGCCUUGUACACACCGCCCGUCACACCAUGGGAGUUGAUUGCACCAGAAGUGGAUAGCCUAACCGUAAGGAA
rnacentral:rRNA from 1 species